ACACCUGUGUCUAGGAAGAUGGAGCUCCAAGUUUUGCAGCGGGAACUCAUUUGGGCUCAGUAAACACUUAAGGAAGUUGCCGUGCACUGCAGCCUGCCGGAGACAUGAAGGAAUGUGCAGGAGGAUAAUCACAACAUCAUCAACCCAAUUCUCCAAGAGACAGCUUUACUAAGAAAAAUGCCUAAGAAAAACUAGGCAAUGGCUUCUGUCCUUACAAAUGAAGAACUUCAUAAGAAAUGGAGGCUCUCAAAACCACCUGCCCAAGACUGAACUAAAUACUCCAUUCAACCAAGAAUGAGGAACUGAAACACAUGAUUAUUAUAUAUGGGUAUGCUUCUGUUUCAUCUACUCAGGCACACUUGUGAUGAAGAUAUAAAAAUCAGCCAUCUUCAGAAGGAGAAACACUGUAUUUGGGGGGACAUGGAUGAAUCUGGAAAACAUCAUCCUCAGCAAACUGACACAAGAACAGAAAAUGAAACACCGCAUAUUCUCACUCAUAGGUGGGUGAUGAAAAAUGAGAACACAUGGACACAGAAAGGGGAGUACUAAACACUGGGGUCUAUUGGGGGGAAAAGGGGAGGGCCAGUGGGAGGGGGAGGUAGGGAGGGAUAGCCUGGGGAGAAAUGCCAAAUGUGGGUGAAGGGGAGAAGAAAAGCAAAGCACACUGCCAUGUGUGUACCUACGCAACUGUCUUUCAUGCUCUGCUCAUGUACCCCAAAACCUAUAAUCCAAUAAAAAAUUAAAAAAAAAAAAAAAAAAUUUCA
rnacentral:lncRNA from 13 species